AUGAGGGUGGUGGAGGUGGAGGAGGUGAGACACUAGACAUCGAUGGGGGUGAUGAAGGUGGGACACUAGACACCAAUUGGGGUGGUGGAGAUGGAGGUGAGGCACUAGUUGAAAAAGUGGUUGAUAAAGGUGAAGGAGGAAGUGAAGCACUAGAUAUCGAUGGGGGAGGAGGUUGGGUGUUAGAUGUUGAUGGGGGCGGUGGAGAUGGAGGAGGUGGGGCACUAGUCGUCAAAGUGGUUGGUGAAGGAGGAGGUGGGGUGCUAGAUAUUGAUGGGGGUGGUGGAGAUGGAGGAGGUGGAGGGAGUAGGGCACUAGUCAUCAAAGUAUUUGGUGAAGGUGAAGGAGGAAUUGAAGCACUAGACAUCGAUGGGGGAGGAGGUGGGGUGCUAGAUAUUGAUGGGGGUGGUGGAGAUGGAGGAGCUGGGGUACUAGUCAUCGAAGUGGUUGGUGAAGGAGGAGGUGGGGUGCUAGAUAUUGAAGAAGGUGGUGGAGAUGGAGGAGGUAGGGCACUAGUUGUCAAAGUGGUUGGUGAAGGAGAACGAGGAAUUGAAGCACUAGACAUCGAUGAGGGAAGAGGUUGGAUGCUAGAUAUUGAUAGGGGUGAUGGAGACAAAAGAGGUGGGGCACUAGUCGUUGCAGAGGGUGGUGAAGAUGGAGGAGGAAGUGGGGCAGUAGACAUCAAUGUGGGAGGUGGAGAUGGUAGUGAAGGUGAAGGAGGUGGGGCACUAGUCAUCAAAGUGGUUGGCGAAAGUGAAAGAGGAAGUGGAGCACUAGAUACCGACGGGGGAGGAAGUGGGGUGUUAGAUAUUGAUGGGGGUGGUGGAGAUGGAGGAGGUGGGGCACUAGUUGUCAAAAAGGGUGGUGAAGGUGGAGCAGGAAACGAGGCAGUAGACAUCAAUAGGGGAGGUGGAGAUGGUGGUGGAAUUGAAGGAGGUAAGGCACUAGUAACCGAAGAAGGUGGUGAAGGUGGAGGAAGUGAAGCACUAGACAUUGAUGGGAGUUGUGGAGCUGGAGGAGAUGGGACAAUAUUAGUCAAAGAGGGUGGUGAAGGCGGAGGAAGUGGAGUACUACACAUUGGUGGGGGUGGUGGAGAUGGAGGAGACGAGGCAAUAGUAGUUGAAAAGGGUGGUGAAAAUGGAGGAAGUGGAGUACUACACAUUGGUGGAGGUGGUGGAGAUGGAGGAGACGAGGCAAUAGUAGUUGAAAAAGGUGGUGAGGUUAGAGGAAGUGGGACAGUAGUCGUUGAAGAGGGUGGUGAAGGUGGAGGAGGAUGUGGGGCAAUAGUUGCU
rnacentral:lncRNA from 1 species